rnacentral:tRNA from 11 species
GCUCUAGUAGCUUAUU